rnacentral:ncRNA from 1 species
GGGCGUUUACCACGGAGUGAUUCAUGACUGGGGUGAAGUCGUAACAAGGUAGCCCUAGGGGAACCUGGGGCUGGAUCACCUCCUUA